rnacentral:rRNA from 1 species
ACGGAAGGCAGCAGUGGGGGAUAUUGCACAAUGGAGGAAACUCUGAUGCAGCAACGCCGCGUGAGGGAAGAAGGUCUUCGGAUUGUAAACCUCUGUUUUCGGUGAAGAACAAAUGACGGUAGCCGAAGAGGAAGCCACGGCUAACUACGUGCCAGCAGCCGCGGUAAUACGUAGGUGGCAAGCGUUGUCCGGAUUUACUGGGUGUAAAGGGUGCGCAGGCGGGACUGCAAGUUGGAUGUGAAAUACCGAGGCUUAACCUCGGAGCUGCAUCCAAAACUGUGGUUCUUGAGUGGAGUAGAGGUAAGCGGAAUUCCGAGUGUAGCGGUGAAAUGCGUAGAUAUUCGGAGGAACACCAGUGGCGAAGGCGGCUUACUGGGCUCUAACUGACGCUGAGGCACGAAAGUGUGGGUAGCGAACAGGAUUAGAUACCCUGGUA